rnacentral:rRNA from 1 species
UACAGAGGCCUCGAGCGUUAGGCGGAAUCACUGGGCUUAAAGCGUGUGUAGGCGGAUUGGUAAGUACCUUGUGAAAUCCCACAGCUUAACUGUGGAACUGCUCGGUAUACUGCUGAUCUUGAGCCACUCAGGGGCUACCGGAACAAAUGGUGGAGCGGUGAAAUGCGUAGAUAUCAUUUGGAACGCAAUGGUGAAAACAGGUAGCUGGGGGUGUGCUGACGCUGAGACACGAAAGCCAGGGGAGCAAACGGG